GAUGAACGCUGGCGGCGUGCUUAACACAUGCAAGUCGAACGAAGCAGUUAUGAAGAAGCAUUUCGGUGCAGAUUGAUGACUGACUGAGUGGCGGACGGGUGAGUAACGCGUGGAUAACCUGCCUCAUACAGGGGGAUAACAGUUAGAAAUGACUGCUAAUACCGCAUAAGCGCACAGCAUCGCAUGAUGCCGUGUGAAAAACUCCGGUGGUGUAAGAUGGAUCCGCGUCUGAUUAGCUAGUUGGUGGGGUAACGGCCCACCAAGGCGACGAUCAGUAGCCGGCCUGAGAGGGUGGACGGCCACAUUGGGACUGGGACACGGCCCAGACUCCUACGGGAGGCAGCAGUGGGGAAUAUUGCACAAUGGGGGAAACCCUGAUGCAGCGACGCCGCGUGAAGGAAGAAGUAUCUCGGUAUGUAAACUUCUAUCAGCAGGGAAGAAAGCGUGAGUAAUCAUGCCUGACGGUACCUGACUAAGAAGCCCCGGCUAAUUACGUGCCAGCCGCCGCCGUAAAAC
rnacentral:rRNA from 1 species